GACGAACGCUGGCGGCGUGCUUAACACAUGCAAGUCGAACGAGUGGCGAACGGGUGAGUAAUACGUGAGUAACCUGCCCUCUUUUUGGGAUAAGCCUUGGAAACGGGGUCUAAUAACGGAUAAAGGGGGAUGGGCUCGCGGCCUGUCAGCUGGUUGGUGGGGUGAUGGCCUACCAAGGCGGUGACGGGUAGCCGGCCUGAGAGGGUGAACUGGCACUGUGAGACGGACCUACGGCCCAGAGUCCUAAGGGGGGGAGCAUUGGGGGAUAUUGCACAAUGUGCGAAAGACUGAUGCAGCGACGCCGCGGGGGGGAUGAAGUCUUUCGGGUUGUAAAGCUCGUGCGCUAUCGAGCGGGUAGGUGGAGAAGAAGCGCCGGCUAACUACGUGCCAGCAGCCGCGGUAAUAC
rnacentral:rRNA from 1 species